AACAGCGUCCACUUGGCCCUCCCGCCAGUGAGCUAUCCAGGAGGCUGAAGAAUCUCUCUGCCAUAGGGAGCUCCAGGAAUCUGCGGUGAGCCCAACAGCAAAGGCUCCUGAGGCUGCAGGCCUAUCCCAGGAGGCAGCAACAGGCAGAGGGGAGCUUCCUUAAACCCCUCCCGGGAAAGCUGGGGAGAGCAGCUCCAUUGCUGGUCGGCUCUGUCCUUACUUGCCAGUGACUGUGACACAGGAUCAAAGCAGAAGAAUACACAGCAGUGCUUUGUGAGCUGAGAGGUGCCUCACCCCAGCUGACACCCGCCGCUCAGUACGUGGACUCCUGCCCUGGGCCACGAUCCACGAAGAACCUCCAGCCAAGCCAGUUUCUCUAAGAGCAAGCAGGGGCAGUGACCGGGUAGCAUCUAAUGAGAAAAGAUGGUCUUGUCCGCCGGGACAGAUUCCGCUCGCCCUUCCAUCCUCCGUCUAAUCUCCACCUCUCCUAUUUGACCCUUAGCUGGGGUGGGUGCUAUUGGAGCCUGAGACGGGCUGCUGGACAAAGGGUGUGGCAUUUUCAAAGCAGUCAUUUGGCCUGCACUUAGCCAGAAAGAGGAACAGAAGAAAGGGAGUACAGAACGCAUCAGCUCAAAACCUCCUCCCACGGUGCUGCUUGCACAGCUGCUUCUUUUGAUGAAGGAAGGUUCUUCUGGGCCGUGGCGGAGGACCAGUGUUCCACUGCAGGGGUGGUGGGCAGGGCGCAGGGAGCCAUCCUACCCUUUGUACCAUUUUAGGUGCUGGAGACAAAGCAGUGAAUAAGAGAAAAGAUGUCAGUGCUCACAGAGCCUGCAUUCUGGCGAAUGACUCAGGACACAUGAAACUAAACAGGUGAAUACAGGCUAGAAUGUCAAUGCCACAAACUGAAGGUGACCACAAAGUCUUUGACAGUCCUUCCAUCAAGAGGUGAAGUCUGUGUCCCUACUCCUUGAAUCAUAGUGGGUUCUGUGACAACUUUGAUUACAGGCUGUGCUAGUUUUCUGACCCAGGACUCAAGAACACUGGCAGUUCCCACUUCUGGUCUCUUGGGCUACUCACUCUUGGAGUCCUGAGCCACCAUGUGAGAAGGGGAACUAUGCUUCUGCAGACACCACGCGGCGAGCCCCUGAGACUACACGGAGAGGGUGAGUGCCCCCAAGGAGCCCAGUCUUCCACUGUACCUGCCUUCUAGAGGGGCGCCUUCCUGAAUUCUCCACACCAGCCCAGCUGCCAGCUGAAUACCCCGAGUGAUCUCACAGGAUGCUAAGGGGAGCAGAAUGGCCCAGCUGCUCUUCAUCCAAAUCCUUGACGUGGUCAUAAUAAAAGGAC